rnacentral:lncRNA from 1 species
UCUCUGUGUGUGUGGGACUCAGCAACUGCUAGAUCCUUGGACUUCCAUUCACAUCUGCUGCUGACCAUUGUUGGGGAGUUGGACUACAGACUGUGAGUCAUCAUCAGUUCCCUUACUAUACAGUGACUACCAGUAAGUUCUCUAACUCUAGAAAACCUUGACAAGUACAUCCACUUCCUCUUGUGUUACAUGCUGUGUAUCCAUUUUUACGUUGAGGUUUUGAUCAGUUAGACUUGAGAGUAUUGGAGGAUAAUAAAUACAGAGCAGUUUGCUUUCUUAUACAUGCAGAUGCCCAGUUAGACAGGCACAAUUGGAUAGGGAUGAUUUCUUUUUUACAAUGUCUCUUUAGCAUUCUCUGUUAAAAGUCUAGCAUCCAUGCUUGAUAGCUAUGUGGGUUUAUUUCUGGGUCUUCAGUUAAAUUCCAUUGAUCAAUUUAUCUGUUUUACUGCCAAUACCACACAGUUUUCCUUAUACUAUAGGCAUGUAAUACUACUUCAGAUCAGAGAAGGUGAUACUUCUAGGAAUUCAUUUGUUGUAGAGGAUUGUGGUCCUUGGUCUCAGUCCAAUGUAUGCCUGUGAAUGUCUGCAAUUGUCUUAGGUGCUAUUAGAACCUCUCAGAGGACAGCCACAGCAGGCUCCUUUAUAUAAGCACAUCUUGUCAUCAACAUUCUAUAGGUUUUUGAUGUCUGCUGAUGGGAUGGAUCUAAGGAUGCCUGUUCCUGGGUGGCCCUUUCUUCAGUCUCUGCUCCAGUUUUUGUCCCUGUUCUUCCUUUAGACAGGAACAAGUCUAGGUUAAAAUUUUUGAGAUCCGUAGCUGGGCGGUGGUGGUACAAACCUUUAAUCUCAGGUCUUGGGAUGUAGAGACAAUCAGAUUUCUGAGUUCAAGGCCAGCCUGGUAUACAAAGUGGGAUCCAGAACAGCGAGGGUUACACAGAGCAACCCUGUCUC